UGGGGAAUUUUGGACAAUGGGCGAAAGCCUGAUCCAGCAAUGCCGCGUGUGUGAAGAAGGCCUUCGGGUUGUAAGCACUUUUGUCCGGAAAGAAAUCCUUGGCUCUAAUACAGUCGGGGGAUGACGGUACCGGAAGAAUAAGCACCGGCUAACUACGUGCCAGCAGCCGCGGUAAUACGUAGGGUGCAAGCGUUAAUCGGAAUUACUGGGCGUAAAGCGUGCGCAGGCGGUUUGCUAAGACCGAUGUGAAAUCCCCGGGGCUCAACCUGGGGAACUGCAUUGGUGACUGGCAGGCUAGAGUAUGGCAGAGGGGGGUAGAAUUCCACGUGUAGCAGUGAAAUGCGUAGAGAUGUGGAGGAAUACCGAUGGNGAAGCAGCCCCUGGGCCAAUACUGACGCUCAUGCACGAAAGCGUGGGGAGCAAACAGGAUUAGAUACCCUGGUAGUCCAGCGCCCUAAACGAUGUCAACUAGUUGUUGGGGAUUCAUUUCCUUAGUAACGUAGCUAACGCGUGAAGUUGACCGCCUGGGGAGUACGGUCGCAAGAUU
rnacentral:rRNA from 1 species